UAUGAUUCAUUGCUAUGCUAAUGAAAUCACACUGAGGCUAUAGCAGAUGUAGUUUUACUCUCAUGUACAAGAUUCCUGUUUCAAGAAUAUCCCAUUGUGCCAAGUGGCUAAUUGAUUACAAUACUAGUGAUGAAUGCAGCAUGUUUUAGCUCCACUCCCAUCAUUUCGGCUGUUAUUUUGCCAUAUUUAUGGGUUUUUUGAAAUAUGUAGAACAGAAAUAUCUGCAUAGUUAGCUGUCUGCUAUCUAUCCUCAAAUCACAUGGCAGAAUCAAAAUCUAAUGUUGGCAUCCCUCUGGCCCUGGUCAAAAUUUGCUGCGGGCCUCCAUCACAUCUACUUCAAAGAAUUCUCAUAGCAAAUUAUCAGAUCGCUUCUUCCUAUUUGCUUAUCCUUUUUCCAAUAUUGGAGAAAUGAGAUACAGCACUUUGCAACAGUCGAAAUAGGUUACUAAUGGUACUGCAUGUUUUCCACCUAGAGAGUAUGGAAAUAAAAAUAAUCAGCAAUUAGUCCAUUGCCUAACUGCAAACCCAUGUAUCAACUGCUUCUCUUCUUCCAAGUCACAGGAAACAAGAAAAAGCAGAGAAUUGAAGGAAUGGAGCAAAAACACUCAACUGUCCUCUUAAGAUGGAGACCCAUCAGAGGUAUUCAGGAAUUGUGGCUUUCUCAGGAUGAACGAUUCUGUUAUUAUUUGGCCUGCUGAAGGAAACUUGACCUUGAAUUCUACCACCUUCUGAGGUUAUUCAAAUUAUAUCAAAAUCAGUGAUCUUUUUACCGAAAUGAUGUACAAAACAUUUGAGAAAUGAUUGCCUUCGCUGUUGACAAAUAAGAACUUUGGUAUCUGGCUCCUGAAAACCAAACCCUAUUGAUAUGCUAUUCAUACAAGUUCAAUUAUGUCUCUGAUGAAAACAAUUAUAGCUGGAAUUUAAGAGUACAGAUUAAAAGGUUUGGAGACUUGGUAAAAGUGAUUUCACAAAAUAUAAAAAGCAAAUGACUUUUUAAUUCUAUGAAUUCAUCAAUUUGUAAGUUAAUGGAAUUAAUGAAGCAAGAAAUGAAGUGGAAAUUCUAAAAGUUUUCUUUCUAUGCUCAGUCCUGGAAUAGGGUCUUACCACUGUUUAGAGCUAAAGGUAAUGAAUAGCUUCAUUUGAACACUAAUUCAAUUAUAUAAUACUCUUCUCCUUCUAUCUCCCCCACCCCUCAACAAAUCUGUGGCAAGUCCUUGACAGAUUUCUUUUUUCACCAGAAGAAAUAAGGGGACAUUUUGGCUCCACUCAAAGUGAAAUAAAAAGUUCUACUGAAAGCAAAGAACGCAAAGCCAAAGCCCAUCAGUUAUGCUAUUUCAACAGAGCUUAUGUAACAGUUAACCACAAUGGUUGGUACUGCUCUAAAUGUUUCUGUUGAACCUUCAGUGCUUCUCUUCCUGCCCCAUGCCCGACCUAUCCUUUGAAUAAAACUAUUAGUUCGUU